rnacentral:rRNA from 1 species
GUGAGGAAUAUUGGACAAUGGGCGCAAGCCAGAUCCAGCCAUGCCGAGUGCAGGAAGACGCAUCUAUGGUGUGUAAACUGCUUUUGUACGGGAAGAAACACUCCCUCGUGAGGGAGCUUGACGGUACCGUAAGAAUAAGGAUCGGCUAACUCCGUGCCAGCAGCCGCGGUAAUACGGAGGAUCCAAGCGUUAUCCGGAAUCAUUGGGUUUAAAGGGUCCGUAGGCGGUUUAAUAAGUCAGUGGUGAAAGCCCAUCGCUCAACGAUGGAACGGCCAUUGAUACUGUUAGACUUGAAUUACAAGGAAGUAACUAGAAUAUGUAGUGUAGCGGUGAAAUGCUUAGAUAUUACAUGGAAUACCAAUUGCGAAGGCAGGUUACUACUUGUGGAUUGACGCUGAUGGACGAAAGCGUGGGGAGCGAACAGGAUUAGAUACCCCGGUAGUCC